rnacentral:rRNA from 1 species
GACGAACCGUGCGAACGUUGUUCGGAAUCACUGGGCUUAAAGGGCGCGUAGGCGGGCCGGACAGUCUGUGGUGGAAAGCCCCCGGCUCAACUGGGGAGGGUCACGCGAUACUGAUCGACUCGAAGGCAGGAGAGGGAAGUGGAAUUCCCGGUGUAGUGGUGAAAUGCGUAGAUACUCGGGAGGAACACCAGUGGCGAAGGCGGACUUCCUGGCCUGUUCUUGACGCUGAGG